rnacentral:rRNA from 1 species
ACAUACGACCAUACCUACCAGAAAAUACGGGAUCCCGUCAGCUCUCCCAUAGUCAAGCUGGUAAGGGGCGGAUUAGUAGUUGGGUCGGUGACGACCAGCGAAUCCCCGCUGUUGUAUGUU